UUCGCAAUGCCCGAAAGGGUGACGAAGCGACGCCGCGUGUGGGAAGAAGGCCUUCGGGUUGUAAACCACUGUCGGGAGUUAAGAAAUGCAAGAAUGUUAAUAGCGUUUUUGCUUGACUAAGGCUCCGGAGGAAGCCACGGCUAACUCUGUGCCAGCAGCCGCGGUAAUACAGAGGCGGCAAGCGUUGUUCGGAAUUAUUGGGCGUAAAGAGCACGUAGGCGGCUAUAUAAGUCGGUUGUGAAAGCCUUCCGCUCAACGGGAGAACAGCAUCCGAUACUGUGUGGCUUGAGUGUGGGAGGGGAGAGCGGAACUUCUGGUGGAGCGGUGAAAUGCGUAGAUAUCAGAAGGAACGCCGGCGGCGAAAGCGGCUCUCUGGCCCAUAACUGACGCUGAGUGUGCGAAAGCUAGGGGAGCAAACGGGAUUAGAUACCCCGGUAGUCCUAGCCGUAAACGAUGGGCACUAAGUAGAGGGGUUUUA
rnacentral:rRNA from 1 species